rnacentral:rRNA from 1 species
UACGUAGGGUGCAAGCGUUGUCCGGAAUUAUUGGGCGUAAAGAGCUCGUAGGCGGUCUGUCGCGUCGGGAUGUGAAAAUCCAGGGCUCAACCCUGGACCUGCAUUCGAUACGGGCAGACUAGAGUUCGGCAGGGGAGACUGGAAUUCCUGGUGUAGCGGUGAAAUGCGCAGAUAUCAGGAGGAACACCGGUGGCGAAGGCGGGUCUCUGGGCCGUAACUGACGCUGAGGCGCGAAAGCGUGGGGGAGCAAACAGG